GCACAAGCGGUGGAUGAUGUGGUUUAAUUCGAUGCAACGCGAAAACCUUACCCACCUUUGACAUGUACGGAAUCCUUUAGAGAUAGAGGAGUGCUCGAAAGAGAACCGUAACACAGGUGCUGCAUGGCUGUCGUCAGCUCGUGUCGUGAGAUGUUGGGUUAAGUCCCGCAACGAGCGCAACCCUUGUCAUUAGUUGCUACAUUCAGUUGGGCACUCUAAUGAGACUGCCGGUGACAAACCGGAGGAAGGUGGGGAUGACGUCAAGUCCUCAUGGCCCUUAUAGGUGGGGCUACACACGUCAUACAAUGGAUGGUACAAAGGGUCGCCAACCCGCGAGGGGGAGCCAAUCCCAUAAAACCAUUCGUAGUCCGGAUCGCAGUCUGCAACUCGACUGCGUGAAGUCGGAAUCGCUAGUAAUCGUGGAUCAGAAUGUCACGGUGAAUACGUUCCCGGGUCUU
rnacentral:rRNA from 1 species